UAUAUCCUGCUGAGAUUCUGAUCAGCAACCACAUUGGCCUGAAGUUAUAGUUUUUACUUACCAGGGCAAGUUCAGAAACUUGUCAACCCUGUCUAUUCUACAUGGGUCUCAAGAAACUUCAUGUACUAUUUGAUGUUUCUAUCUUAUUAACUUUAAUUAUAUGUAUAUGUUAAUGCUCCAAACUUUCUUUAUCAGUAGUGAAAGCUAAAUAACCAAACACUUUUUUUGUUGAGUAGUUGUAAAGGAAGCCCCAGAUUAAUCUUAUUUUCAUUCAUUUACGAAGACUGCAUUUUAAAUUGAAACAAAAUAUGGAAGAGAGCCAACUAAUAUGUCAAUUUUUCUCUCUGUUUCUCUAAAAACAUUGUUUUACUUACCGAUCUAUGCAAGGCAUAUCUGCUAUCUCAAUAUUCACAGCAGCUUAGUGUGGCCCUAUUGCUAGUGUAGCUGGUAAGGUGCAGUUCAUUUCAGUUGGAUUUUCUUGGCAGGCCAAAUUCAGAGCGUUGAUCCAGCUGCCCCUUAUCGGAUCGAGAUAACUUCAGGCUCCAAAGACCAGUCAAAUGCUGCUAGUAGCAAGCAACAUAUUUGUAAGGAACCAUCAGACAACGCCGAACAGUCUGAGCGACCAAAGACAGAGGCUAAUGUUCUGAAAGAAGUUCAUGGCUCAAUGACAGGAGCCUCAGAUGGCGUUCAAUCUGUGGAGGAGGACGAUGAAAUGAAGGUUGACAGCAAAUGAAAGCUGAGGUUGACAAUGGCAACAUAAAUCCUUUUGUUUGGCGCUUCUGGUUGAUGCGCUUAACAG